CCUACGGGAGUCAGCAGUGAGGAAUAUUGGUCAAUGGACGAGAGUCUGAACCAGCCAAGUAGCGUGAAGGCUGACUGCCCUAUGGGUUGUAAACUUCUUUUAUCAAGGAAUAAAACGAGGCACGUGUGCCUUUUUGCAUGUACUUUAUGAAUAAGGAUCGGCUAACUCCGUGCAAGCAGCCGCGGUAAUACGGAGGAUACGAGCGUUAUCCGGAUUUCUUGGGUUUAAAGGGAGCGUAGAUGGGGUGUUAAGUCAGUUGUGAAAGUUUGCGGCUCAACCGUAAAAUUGCAAUUGAUACUGGCAGUCGUGAGUACAGUGGAGGUAAGCGGAAGUCGUGGUGUAGCGGUGAAAUGCUUAGAUAUCACGAAGAACCCCGAGUGCGAAGGCAGCUUACUAAACUGUGACUGACAUUGAUGCUCGAAAGUGUGGGUAUCAAACAGGAUUAGAUACCCUUGUAGUC
rnacentral:rRNA from 1 species